GACAGAGGGGGCAAGCGUUGCUCGGAAUUACUGGGCGUAAAGGGCGCGUAGGCGGGAUGGCAAGUCGGUCGUGAAAUCCCUCGGCUCAACCGAGGAACGUCGAUCGAUACUGCUGUUCUUGAGGAUUGCAGAGGAGACUGGAAUUCAUGGUGUAGCAGUGAAAUGCGUAGAGAUCAUGAGGAAGACCAGUGGCGAAGGCGGGUCUCUGGACAGUUCCUGACACUGAGGCACGAAGGCCAGGGGAGCAAACGGG
rnacentral:rRNA from 1 species